GACGGGAGAUGCAAGCGUUAUUCGGAUUUAUUGGGCGUAAAGGGUUUGUAGGUUGUUGGUUAAGUCUAUGGUCAAAUUCCGAAGCUCAACUUCGGGCCGGCACUAGAAACUAAUCAACUUGAGUACGUUAGAGGCAGGGGGAAUUCCCAGUGUAGCGGUGAAAUGCGUAGAUAUUGGGAGGAACAUCAAUGGCGAAGGCACCCUGCUAGGCCGAUACUGACACUGAAAAACGAAAGCUAGGGGAGCGAAAGGGAUUAGAUACCCCUGUAGUCCUGGCCGUAAACGAUGAACACUAGGUGUCGGGGGAUCGCCCCGGUGUCGUAGCUAACGCGUUAAGUGUUCCGCCUGGGGAGUACGCACGCAAGUGUG
rnacentral:rRNA from 1 species